GUGUGUCACUGUUCUGUGUCUUAGAAUACCAUGCACUUUGCACAAUUCAUCAAAUUCAUAAUUGCAAAACUCAAGCCCAUUAUCAGUCCUCAACACUUUAAUCUUUUUAUUUGUUUGAUUCUCAAUCAAGAUUUUCCAUUCUUUAAAAGCAUUAAAAGUGUCAGACUUAUGUUUAAGCAGAAAAAGCCAGUUUUUCCUAGAAAAAUCAUCUAUGAUUAAAAGGAAAAAUUUGAAACCAGUAUGUGUGGGCACAGUAGCUGGUCCCCAAAGAUCAGCAUGCAAAUAUUCAAGAAUAGACACAGAUUUAUGCAUCCCAGGCAGAAAUGGUAAUCUAUUUUGCUUUCCUAGUAUGCAAUGAUCACAAAAACUGAGUUUCUCAAUUAUAUCUUUACCAAAGGCACCUUUUUUUUUUCAAAAUCUGAAGACCUUUGUCACUAAUAUGGCCCAAUCUUUUAUGCCAUAAUUGUGACUUAUCAUUGGGGGCAGAAAUUGCUGUUGAUGUGAAGUCAAAAAAGUUUUAAGUAUAUAAAAUGUAAAGCCCAUGUCUCUUGGGGGCUUCGGCAACAAGUUGAGAGCCCUCAAGAUCUUAAUGUAUCCCAUGUUAAUCACAAUAUUGUAGUUCAGGUCAUCUAGAACACCUAAGGAUAUCAAAUUUCUUUGUAGGUCAGGAACAUACCUAGUCUUAUCUAAGAUCAAUUCAUUAUUACCAUCCAACCUUAAAGUGAUUGUUCCCAUUCCUUUAACCUGACAAGACAUGUGAUUACCCAUUAACACUUG
rnacentral:lncRNA from 1 species